rnacentral:tRNA from 1 species
GGGAGUAUAGUUCAGUGGUAGAACACCGGCCUCCAAAGCCGGGUGUCGUGGGUUCAAGUCCUGCUACUCCCG